GAUGAACGCUGGCGGCGUGCCUAACACAUGCAAGUCGAACGGAGAUUUAACGCUGAUGAAGCUUCGGCAGAUUCUUGUUAAAUCUUAGUGGCGGACGGGUGAGUAACGCGUGGGCAACCUGCCUCAUACUGGGGGAUAACAGCUGGAAACGACUGUUAAUACCGCAUAAGCGCACAGCAUCGCAUGAUGCAGUGUGAAAAACUCCGGUGGUAUGAGAUGGGCCCGCGUCAGAUUAGCCAGUUGGCAGGGUAACGGCCUACCAAAGCGACGAUCUGUAGCCGGCCUGAGAGGGCGGACGGCCACAUUGGGACUGAGACACGGCCCAAACUCCUACGGGAGGCAGCAGUGGGGGAUAUUGCACAAUGGAGGAAACUCUGAUGCAGCGACGCCGCGUGAGUGAAGAAGUAUUUCGGUAUGUAAAGCUCUAUCAGCAGGGAAGAAAGACUCGUAAGAGAGAUGACG
rnacentral:rRNA from 1 species